GGAGGGAUGGCAGAGUGGACGAUUGCGGCGGUCUUGAAAACCGUUGUGGGGCAACCCACCGGGGGUUCGAAUCCCUCUCCCUCCG
rnacentral:tRNA from 1 species